rnacentral:rRNA from 1 species
UACGGAGGGGGCUAGCGUUGUUCGGAAUUACUGGGCGUAAAGCGUACGUAGGCGGCUUUGUAAGUUAGAGGUGAAAGCCCGGGGCUCAACUCCGGAAUUGCCUUUAAGACUGCAUCGCUUGAAUCAUGGAGAGGUGAGUGGAAUUCCGAGUGUAGAGGUGAAAUUUGUAGAUAUUCGGAAGAACACCAGUGGCGAAGGCGACUCACUGGACAUGUAUUGACGCUGAGGUACGAAAGCGUGGGGAGCAAACAGG